GACGAACGCUGGCGGCGUGCUUAACACAUGCAAGUCGAACGGAAAGGCCUGCUUUCCCUUGUGGAUUGCGGGUACUCGAGUGGCGAACGGGUGAGUAACACGUGAGUGAUCUGCCCCCAACUUGGGUAUAAGCCUGGGAAACUGGGUCUAAUUCCCGAUAGGACUGCAGGGUGGUGCCUGUGGUGGAAAACGAUUUUCUAGUGGUUGGGGAUGAGCUCGCGGCCUAUCAGCUUGUUGGUGGGGUAAUGGCCUACCAAGGCGGCGACGGGUAGCCGGCCUGAGAGGGGGGACGGCCGCAUUGGGACUGAGAUCCGGCCCAGACGCCUACGGGCGGCAGCAGUGGGGAAUAUUGGGCAGUGGGCGGAAGCCUGAUGCAGCGACGCCGCGUGGGGGAUGACGGCAUUCGGGUUGUAAUCUCCUUUCGACCGCGAGGAAGCCACCUGGUUGGAAGGGUGGUGACGGUAGUGGUAGAAGAAGCACCGGCUAACUACGUG
rnacentral:rRNA from 1 species